GAACUAAAAUUAGCUGAAACUGUAUGAUUAUUAUGAUUUUCUGAACUUGAAAAACUCAUCCAAAUCUCUCUCCUCCUCCCUCGAUUUUUCGAUUCACCAUUUUCUUCAGGCAUUUUAUACCUACAAAUCGGACACGACCCAUGAAUCUUCAACCAUUUUUCAACACAAUCGCCAUGAAAUCUAUGCUUACAAGGCAUUUCUUUCACUAUCUCGCCGAUUUCCCAAUCAUCCAAACAGAUAGAGCACUCCCCUUU
rnacentral:misc_RNA from 1 species